AGCCACUGACUAACGUACAUUGCGCCUAUCCCAAUUCCACUGUGCGUGUGACAGCGGCU
ensembl:miRNA